rnacentral:rRNA from 1 species
GCGUAGGCGGUUUUUUAAGUCUGAUGUGAAAGCCCACGGCUCAACCGUGGAGGGUCAUUGGAAACUGGAAAACUUGAGUGCAGAAGAGGAAAGUGGAAUUCCAUGUGUAGCGGUGAAAUGCGCAGAGAUAUGGAGGAACACCAGUGGCGAAGGCGACUUUCUGGUCUGUAACUGACGCUGAUGUGCGAAAGCGUGGGGAUCAAACAGGAUUAGAUACCCUGGUAGUCCACGCCGUAAACGAUGAGUGCUAAGUGUUAGGGGGUUUCCGCCCCUUAGUGCUGCAGCUAACGCAUUAAGCACUCCGCCUGGGGGGUACGACCGCAAGGUUGAAACUCAAAGGAAUUGACGGGGACCCGCACAAGCGGUGGAGCAUGUGGUUUAGUUCGAAGCAACGCGAAGAACCUUACGAAAUCUUGAGAUCCUCUGACCCCUCUAGAGAUAGAGUUUUCCGCUUCGGGGGACAGAGUGACGGGUGGUGCAUGGUUGUCGUCAGCUCGUGUCGUGAGAUGUUGGGUUAAGUCCCGCAACGAGCGCAACCUUUAAGCUUAGUUGCCAUCAUUAAGUUGGGCACUCUAAGUUGACUGCCGGUGACAAACCGGAGGAAGGUGGGGAUGACGUCAAAUCAUCAUGCCCCUUAUGAUUUGGGCUACACACGUGCUACAAUGGACAAUACAAAGGGUAGCGAAACCGCGAGGUCAAGCAAAUCCCAUAAAGUUGUUCUCAGUUCGGAUUGUAGUCUGCAACUCGACUACAUGAAGCUGGAAUCGCUAGUAAUCGUAGA